UUCAGUGUAGAGCCAGGUUCCUACAACUGU
rnacentral:piRNA from 1 species